GGACCCGACUGCUAUCAGAGUGGGACUAAGCCAUGCGAGUCAACGCCGCAAGGCGUGGCAUACGGCUCAGUAACACGUAGUCAACAUGCCCAAAGGACGUGGAUAACCUCGGGAAACUGAGGAUAAACCGCGAUAGGCCAAGGUUUCUGGAAUGAGCCAUGGCCGAAAUCUAUACGGCCUUUGGAUAGGACUGCGGCCGAUCAGGCUGUUGGUGAGGUAAUGGCCCACCAAACCUGUUACCGGUACGGGCUUUGAGAGAAGGAGCCCGGAGAUGGGCACUGAGACAAGGGCCCAGGCCCUAUGGGGCGCAGCAGGCGCGAAACCUCUGCAAUAGGCGAAAGCCUGACAGGGUUACUCUGAGUGAUGCCCGCUAAGGGUAUCUUUUGGCACCUCUAAAAAUGGUGCAGAAUAAGGGGUGGGC
rnacentral:rRNA from 1 species